rnacentral:antisense_RNA from 1 species
GUUCUGGGCUUCUGGCUGCAUUCUAGGAAGAUCAUUCCUUAAAAGAAAUAGCCAUAUGGCUUAUAAGGUGCUAAAAGGAUAAUACCAAGGAAAACUAUGGGUGGGGGCAGUGAAUGGCCAGCAUGCCUAUAAUCCCAGCACUUGAAGCCAGGAGUUCGAGACCAGCCUGGGAAACAAAGCAAGACCCUGUGUCUAAAAAAUUUUUUUUAAAAAUAAGCUGGGCAUGGUGGCACGUGCCUAUAGUCCCAGCUACUCAGCUACUCGGGAGACCAAGACAUGGAAUAAACUUGACAAGUGCUAAAGAUGCUCUUUGAUUUUUGUGUGGCAUGAGACCUCAGGCUGAAACUUCUCAUCUGAGCCAUUGAAGGGAGCCUCUCAUCUCUCCACUGAGAGGGGAGACCAGAAUGCUCUGUUUCUGGCAGGAAUCUGACACCACUUACUCCUUGGGUAGAAACUCCCCCAAGUCUGAACUAUGUGAUUGCCUGAGCCCUGCUCCUUGUUCAUUAAGACUGCUCCUCUGAAACGGAAUUGAUGAAUUUUUAGUGGCUAUUAGAAGCAUUUGGGAUCCAUAGGCAUCAGGGUUUGAUGCAUGGCCCUCAUCUCUGUGGGCUCCUGUGCAAUGAUUCUCAUCUGUCUUAGUUAGAAAGUGAAUUAAUCUUGACCUUGGCCUCAGGGGUGUGGUUCUCUGCCCUCUUACACAUCUUCAAUUCGCUUCUUUAUCAGAAGCACUUGUUUUAGGCCCAGGCUCCCCCAAUUUUAAUGACAUUUAGACAUUUGUCUUUAAGUUACAUUGCUUUGAUUUUAAUCAAAAUCUAUAUUUCUCGUAUUAUAUGUUUCCAGAAAGUUCUCAUUCUGGGUUGUAAUUUAAUUACAUGGAUCAUUAAAGCUUUGAAGGAUGCUAAUGGG